rnacentral:rRNA from 1 species
CCUACGGGAGGCAGCAGUGAGGAAUAUUGGUCAAUGGGCGAGAGCCUGAACCAGCCAAGUCGCGUGAGGGAGUACUGCCCUAUGGGUUGUAAACCUCUUUUGUCGGGGAGCAAAAGCCGGACGUGUCCGGCUGUGAGAGUACCCGAAGAAACAGCAUCGGCUAACUCCGUGCCAGCAGCCGCGGUACUACGGAGGAUGCGAGCGUUAUCCGGAUUUUUUUGGUUUAAAGGGUGCGCAGGCGGAUUUUUAAGUCAGCGGUAAAAUCGUGGGGCGCAACCCCAUCCAGCCGUUGAAACUGGGGAUCUAGAGUGUGCGAGAGGUAUGCGGAAUGCGUGGUGUAGCGGUGAAAUGCAUAGAUAUCACGCAGAACCCCGAUGGCGAAGGCAGCAUACCGGUGCACAACUGACGCUCAGGCACGAAAGCGUGGGUAUCGAACAGGAUUAGAUACCCUUGUAGUC